rnacentral:rRNA from 1 species
GAUGAACGCUGGCGGCGUGCCUAAUACAUGCAAGUCGAGCGAACGGACGAGAAGCUUGCUUCUCUGAUGUUAGCGGCGGACGGGUGAGUAACACGUGGAUAACCUACCUAUAAGACUGGGAUAACUUCGGGAAACCGGAGCUAAUACCGGAUAAUAUUUUGAACCGCAUGGUUCAAAAGUGAAAGACGGUCUUGCUGUCACUUAUAGAUGGAUCCGCGCUGCAUUAGCUAGUUGGUAAGGUAACGGCUUACCAAGGCAACGAUGCAUAGCCGACCUGAGAGGGUGAUCGGCCACACUGGAACUGAGACACGGUCCAGACUCCUACGGGAGGCAGCAGUAGGGAAUCUUCCGCAAUGGGCGAAAGCCUGACGGAGCAACGCCGCGUGAGUGAUGAAGGUCUUCAGAUCGUAAAACUCUGUUAUUAGGGAAGAACAUAUGUGUAAGUAACUGUGCACAUCUUGACGGUACCUAAUCAGAAAGCCACGGCUAACUACGUGCCAGCAGCCGCGGUAAUACGUAGGUGGCAAGCGUUAUCCGGAAUUAUUGGGCGUAAAGCGCGCGUAGGCGGUUUUUUAAGUCUGAUGUGAAAGCCCACGGCUCAACCGUGGAGGGUCAUUGGAAACUGGAAAACUUGAGUGCAGAAGAGGAAAGUGGAAUUCCAUGUGUAGCGGUGAAAUGCGCAGAGAUAUGGAGGAACACCAGUGGCGAAGGCGACUUUCUGGUCUGUAACUGACGCUGAUGUGCGAAAGCGUGGGGAUCAAACAGGAUUAGAUACCCUGGUAGUCCACGCCGUAAACGAUGAGUGCUAAGUGUUAGGGGGUUUCCGCCCCUUAGUGCUGCAGCUAACGCAUUAAGCACUCCGCCUGGGGAGUACGACCGCAAGGUUGAAACUCAAAGGAAUUGACGGGGACCCGCACAAGCGGUGGAGCAUGUGGUUUAAUUCGAAGCAACGCGAAGAACCUUACCAAAUCUUGACAUCCUUUGACAACUCUAGAGAUAGAGCUUUCCCCUUCGGGGGACAAAGUGACAGGUGGUGCAUGGUUGUCGUCAGCUCGUGUCGUGAGAUGUUGGGUUAAGUCCCGCAACGAGCGCAACCCUUAAGCUUAGUUGCCAUCAUUAAGUUGGGCACUCUAAGUUGACUGCCGGUGACAAACCGGAGGAAGGUGGGGAUGACGUCAAAUCAUCAUGCCCCUUAUGAUUUGGGCUACACACGUGCUACAAUGGACAAUACAAAGGGCAGCGAAACCGUGAGGUCAAGCAAAUCCCAUAAAGUUGUUCUCAGUUCGGAUUGUAGUCUGCAGCUCGACUACAUGAAGCUGGAAUCGCUAGUAAUCGUAGAUCAGCAUGCUACGGUGAAUACGUUCCCGGGUCU